ensembl:snoRNA SNORD39 Small nucleolar RNA SNORD55/SNORD39
GGUGUUCCGAUGAUGAAGCUUCUUCCACUGCUGCAUUUGGCUGAGUACGCCAUGCGGAGACUUGUUACCUUGGAGAGCUGAGUGACUCU